rnacentral:misc_RNA from 1 species
UCCCGGUUAACCCGGGCAGUCUCACUAGAGUUCCCACCAUUACGUGUUGGCAACUAGUGAUAAGGGUUGCGCUCGUUGCGGGACUUAACCCAACACCUCACGGCACGAGCUGACGACAGCCAUGCAGCACCUGUACAGCGGCCAUUGCUGGAGGGACUAUCUCUAGUCCUAUCCACUGUAUGUCAAGUCUGGGUAAGGUUCUUCGCGUUGCAUCGAAUUAAACCACAUGCUCCACUGCUUGUGCGGGUCCCCGUCAAUUCUUUUGAGUUUCACCCUUGCGAGCGUACUCCCCAGGCGGUAUACUUAUCGCGUUAGCUACGGCACAGCUAGGGUUGAGUCCAGCUACACCAAGUAUACAUAGUUUACGGCAAGGACUAC